rnacentral:rRNA from 1 species
CACGAGAACGUCUUGGCUUUGCCAAGACAAGUACAGUGGCGGACGGGUGCGUAACGCGUAGAUAACCUGCCUUCAAGCGCGGGACAACCUCGGGAAACCGUGGCUAAUACCGCACGACGUCCAGACCCCGCAUGGGGACUGGAUGAAAGCCUUCGGGUGCUUGAAGAUGGGUCUGCGUCGGAUUAGCUCGUUGGUGAGGUAACGGCUCACCAAGGUGACGAUCCGUAGCUGGUCUGAGAGGAUGAUCAGCCACACUGGGACUGAGACACGGCCCAGACUCCUACGGGAGGCAGCAGUGGGGAAUCUUGCACAAUGGGGGAAACCCUGAUGCAGCCAUGCCGCGUGGAGGAAGACACCCCUAUGGGGCGUAAACUCCUUUUCUGAGGGAAGAAACCCCUGUUUUUCAGGGUGUGACGGUACCUCAGGAAUAAGGACCGGCUAACUCCGUGCCAGCAGCCGCGGUAAUACGGAGGGUGCAAGCGUUGUCCGGAAUCACUGGGCGUAAAGGGUGCGCAGGCGGGGCAGCAAGUCGGAGGUGAAAGCCCAUGGCUCAACCAUGGAAGUGCCUUCCAAACUGUUGCUCUUGUGUCCAGAGAGGCUGUCGAAAUUGGU